AUUGAACGCUGGCGGCAUGCUUUACACAUGCAAGUCGAACGGCAGCGCGGGCUUCGGCCUGGCGGCGAGUGGCGAACGGGUGAGUAAUACAUCGGAACGUGCCCAGUAGUGGGGGAUAGCUCGGCGAAAGCCGGAUUAAUACCGCAUACGACCUGAGGGUGAAAGCGGGGGAUCUUCGGACCUCGCGCUAUUGGAGCGGCCGAUGGCAGAUUAGCUAGUUGGUGGGGUAAAGGCCUACCAAGGCGACGAUCUGUAGCUGGUCUGAGAGGGCGACCAGCCACACUGGGACUGAGGCACGGCCCAGACUCCUACGGGAGGCAGCAGUGGGGAAUUUUGGACAAUGGGCGAAAGCCUGAUCCAGCAAUGCCGCGUGUGUGAUGAAGGCCUUCGGGUUGUAAAGCACUUUUGGCGGGAACGAAAAGGACUGUGCCAAUACCACGGUUCGAUGACGGUACCCGCAGAAUAAGCACCGGCUAACUACGUG
rnacentral:rRNA from 1 species